GAGGGUGAGGCUCAGAGAGUGCGUGUGUGGCAGGGGCCAGCCCGGGAGCCUUUGUGGGUGCUCAGCUCAGUCCCGCGCUGCCCACGUUCCCUCACCUGCAAGCAAAGAUGGCUACACCCCCAGCUGGUUCGACCCAACUAGACACAGGGUUGAGCAUCAGAUGACUCGGUGGGAGAGGGAGUUUGCCACAAGGUGUGUUCAACAGCUAGGACCCAAAAGGUGCAAGGAAAGAACUGUCUUCUGUACGCUGUCCACUGACCUCCACAUGGGCUGUGGUGCAUGCCUACUCAUGCACACCCCCACAAACACUUAAUAACACCAACAACAGUAAUAAACCAGAUGCAAGCCUGGCUGUCCAGCCCUGGGGCUCAGGAUCAUCAGUCAGUCCCCCUGUCUUAUGUUUCCAAGACCCAGCACUACUGAGUGGACGCGAACUCAUACCAACGUGCCCCAAGUGUGAACUCCUUUCUUGGAAGGCUCUCAAAUUCUUAUCUGGUGCCAAAGCCUGUGAUGACAGUAACACAGACACAGAAUCACCAGCCCCUGCACUCUCUCUCGACCCUACCCCAGUCUCAUGUCUUACAUGAUGAUGAUGAUGUCCUGGGGGUAGUCCUACUAUGUGCUAUGGGCCCAGCCCACCUUUAUUUAUGUUUUGACUUUAGUACAGGGCCUUAUGUGUCCCAGGCUGGCCUCUUGCUGUGAAGAUUAUAACCAUGCGGCCCUGAACCUGCCCAUGUUUCCCAAAUGCUGGGAUUACCACUGUGAGCUGUGUGUUAGGCUUAGGCUGCUCAGGGAAGUAAGCUCAGAGUUUCACGCAUGCCAGGCAAGCACCCAACUGUCCCAUUCCCAGUCCCACCCCUUUAAUUUUUUUUUUUUUUUUGAGUCAGUUUGAGUAAAUUACUCUGACAGGUCUUGAAUGCAAACUAUGUCUGUCCUAGCCUCCUGGGUGCCGGGGUCACAGUCUGGUGUCAUCUCACACAACUGCCUCUUAUCUAGAACUCCCUAGUAGCCUAGGCUGGCCUUAACUCACACACCAGCAGACAUGUAAGGGACAACCAGAAAGGUGUUUGAAGACAGAAUGGCCAAAAGCCGCCUGUUUGUUGAAAACAAUAACUUAUGUGUCUAGGAAGGAGGGGAGGAUAAACACGCAGACAGACCACCUCCUGGGGGCACUUCUAAUCCUGGAAGAACAGUAAGAAACAACCCCCUACUCUGCUGAAACAGUGUGAACCAUGGUAAGAACACCCACACCCAGAAAACCUGUAAGAGGAAGGCAAGAAUAAAGGAAUUUCCAGAUGCAAACUGGGGGGCUGAUUUAGAACCACUGAGAGUUCGAGCUGAAGCUAGUGACACCAUCAGUAAUCCAGGCAUACAAAGGAGCACCCCCUCACCCCAAGGAAAGCCUCUCUAUAAAAUACCUUAAACACACUUCUCUCAAAAGGCAAAAGAGGAAAUAUCCUAGCAACAGUCAGGCAUUAACCAAAGGGGAGUGUCCAAGGGGCCCUUGCUGGCAGAUGGCAAAGUAAGGAUUAUAAGGCGGUACUGUCAACAGACAGCUAACAGAAAGUGGGGAAGAGAACCUCACAAGAGUUAGACCCUUCUAUGUUUCACUGGAAUCGAGAGCACAGAGCCACUCAAAAACUAAAAAGCACAGCAGAGAACUAUUAAACCUUAAUGAAGUCUACUUAUGCAAAAGAGAGACAGCAACCAAGACCACUGACACGGGCAACAGCUACUAUCAGCCAGGCUACACACAAAUGCCCGCGUAACGCCAGCAAUAGGCAGGAACGUCAGCCUGGACUUUGGUCGGUGGUGGACGGCUGACACACUUCAGGAUCACCGUGCCGGGCCAGAGGCCCUUUGCAGCUGGGGUUUAGGUCCCAGUCACCCUCCCUCGGGUCACACUGCCUGUCCUCUGCCCAGGUCACGUACGACACGGGCUGGGCUGCAGCAUGCCCAUCUGUGGGCAGAGAGAGGGGACAGGAAGUCCGGGCUGCAGCCCGCAAGGCAGGGAACAAAGCACGGGUCCCGGUGGCCGUCACCCCGGGGAGCGAGCCUGGAGCCCCGCGCUUGGGGGAACCAGAGGUUCCGGGUUCAUCUCACCGUCAGCCAGGUCAACCAGGAAUGCUCCCCAGUGGCUUCCCACCCUCCCAAACUGCCGUUCGCAUGUGAUUGGUUCAUCCGAUGAAACGUCACGAAGCCCUGCAUCGAGUUUAGGCAUGAGGGGUAAUGUCACAGACUACACAGAAUGGGGCAGGCACAGGGCUUCUGGGCAUGCUCAGGACUGCUGUCUACUUGGAAAGCCUUGGCAUUCACAUACGGGCAAGCACAUCAUGGCACACGUCAUGGGGCCGUGGCUUCGGCAACUGUCAGGUUCUGCCCCAGCAUUGUCAAGGGCAUCAUCCUUCAUCCCAUAAAAUGUUCACAUCAUGAGCUCCUGCAUCCUCUGGACACAAAAGCUGAGACUCUCCCAGCCCUUUGCCAGCUCUGCAGACACAGUGCAGUCGACCUGACCCUUGAAUAAAAGGUUUGGGGUUUGCAGAGCUUCAAAAA
rnacentral:sRNA from 1 species